rnacentral:rRNA from 1 species
GACGAACCGUGCGAACGUUAUUCGGAAUCACUGGGCUUAAAGCGCGUGUAGGCGGGACGGCACGUCGGUCGCUGAAAUCCCCCGGCUCAACCGGGGAACGGGCGCCGAUACGACCGCCCUGGAGGGACGUAGGGGGACCUGGAACUUCCGGUGGAGCGGUGAAAUGCGUUGAGAUCGGAAGGAACGCCCGUGGCGAAAGCGAGGUCCUGGACGUUUUCUGACGCUGAGACGCGAAAGCCAGGGGAGCAAACGGG